CAGGUCGUAGACCCGAAACCAGGUGAUCUACCCAUGUCCAGGAUGAAGGUAAGGUAAUACUUACUGGAGGUCCGAACCCACGCACGUUGAAAAGUGCGGGGAUGAGGUGUGGGUAGCGGAGAAAUUCCAAUCGAACUUGGAGAUAGCUGGUUCUCUCCGAAAUAGCUUUAGGGCUAGCCUCGAGGUAAAGAGUCAUGGAGGUAGAGCACUGUUUGGACUAGGGGCCCUUCUCGGGUUACCGAAUUCAGAUAAACUCCGAAUGCCAUGUACUUAUACUCGGGAGUCAGACUGCGAGUGAUAAGAUCCGUAGUCGAAAGGGAAACAGCCCAGACCACCAGUUAAGGUCCCCAAAUAUAUGUUAAGUGGAAAAGGAUGUGGGGUUGCUUAGACAACCAGGAUGUUGGCUUAGAAGCAGCCACCAUUGAAAGAGUGCGUAAUAGCUCACUGGUCGAGUGACCCCGCGCCGAAAAUGUACCGGGGCUAAACAUAUUACCGAAACUGUGGAUGAACCUCUUUAGAGGUUCGUGGUAGGAGAGCGUUCUAAGGGCGGUGAAGUCAGACCGGAAGGACUGGUGGAGCGCUUAGAAGUGAGAAUGCCGGUAUGAGUAGCGAAAGAAGGGUGAGAAUCCCUUCCACCGAAUAUCUAAGGUUUCCUGAGGAAGGCUCGUCCGCUC
rnacentral:rRNA from 1 species